UUCACAUUGUUGUGGCAGUCCAACAAAGGCUUCCGAGCAAUCAAGUGGUACGCAAGGCACCCAAAACUGAAUAUAUCAGAGGAGCACCCAACCGAAGAUGUCUCACUUCGAACAAGCUCUGGUGCAGUGUAGUUCAGUGAUGGCUGAAGUGGUAUAAUCGAAUCUUCAACAUCAUAUUCCUGAAAAUUCAUCAGAUAAUAAAGCUAGUUUUAGCAACUAUCACCUCCAGACCAAAAUAUCUAAUAGAUAAAUAAACUUGUUUAAUACAGGAAUUUUACAUGUAAUGAAUAAUCGAAGUCAUCAUCAGCUA
rnacentral:lncRNA from 1 species